rnacentral:lncRNA from 10 species
GCAUAUUCAAGGGAUUUUACGAAGGGACUGUGUAUGCUGAUGUGGGUGAGGCUAAGGAAACAGACAAGAAAUAUUGAUGUCUCCAGGGACCCACACACACAUAAAGGGGGAUCCAGCAUUCCUUUAAGGCUGUACCUAAAAGCUGAGGGAGUAAUGUUUCCAGAACCUGGGUGAGAAUCGGAGCAAUAGGAGAAGAUGUCACCAUACAGGGAUGAAGCCCUGGGCAGAACCAUACUGAAGCAGGAAAUGCAGGAAACAAGGAUCUCUGCUGCUCUCCCCUCUAGAUUUGCAAUCCUCUGCCAGUUUCUUGCAUGGACUGAAACCAACUAGAUGCUGCGGAGCAGGAAACCCCAUGGGACAUGGGCUGUAAAAGUCAGCGUCCCAUAUUGUGAAGUGUGCAACAGCAGCAGAGACAGACAGAGAGUUAAUCCAGGAGAAAACUACGUUAUAUACAAGAAAGUUGACUAACGCUGCAUCGUAUUAAAACAAUAUGAAUGAUCAGUGUCUACAUGUUAUCAUGGUUACAUGAACUGCAACCAACAAAAACACCACAAAUCACAACACUCAUUUGAACAAGAUUUACUAAGAACCAGUGACUAACUGCAGAAAACAUUUUCUGUGUAUUGCGUGUGUGUAAACCUACACCAACCAGAGUGAUGAACA